CAGAUGGGACAGAAAAAAAAAAUCUCCAGUACUCCAUAUAAUACUGAACAUCACCAUUGGGUAUUCUGUUGUCUUCCUUGAACACUCACAACUACGUUUGAGUUCUAAUAAUCAAUUUGUCAAUCAAGGGUUCCCCCAUCGACUUAAAUAAUAGGCAAUCAUGCGUCUGGAGGGAAAGAAUCAGAUACAAAACUUCUCUCUCUGUCAUACUUAUAGCUCAGGCAGCGAUCAAAACUACAUUUAGCUGAGGAUUCUGAAUACCUCUGACCCCUAGCGGCAAACAUCUACAGGGGAUAAGUCCCAAACGGCACCCUAUUCCCUAUAUGGUGCACUACUUUUGACCAUAGCUCUAGGGUGUCAAUUGGCUGCCACUUUGGACAACCAGGGUUAACUGGACCAGCAGGUAGUGGAUGGACUUCCAGGGUUAACUGGACCAGCAGGUAGUGGAUAGACAACCAGGGUUAACUGGACCAGCAGGUAGUGGAUGGACAACCAGGGUUAACUGGACCAGCUGGUAGUGGAUGGACUUCCAGGGUUAACUGGACCAGCAGGUAGUGGAUGGAUAACCAGGGUUAACUGGACCAGCAGGUAGUGGAUGGACAACCAGGGUUAACUGGACCAGCAGGUAGUGGAUGGACAACCAGGGUUAACUGGACCAGCUGGUAGUGGAUGGACUUCCAGGGUUAACUGGACCAGCAGGUAGUGGAUGGAUAACCAGGGUUAACUGGACCAGCAGGUAGUGGAUGGACAACCAGGGUUAACUGGACCAGCAGGUAGUGGAUGGACAACCAGGGUUAACUGGACCAGCUGGUAGUGGAUGGACAACCAGGGUUAACUGGACCAGCAGGUAGUGGAUGGAUAACCAGGGUUAACUGGACCAGCAGGUAGUGGAUGGACAACCAGGGUUAACUGGACCAGCAGGUAGUGGAUGGAUAACCAGGGUUAACUGGACCAGCUGGUAGUGGAUGGAUAACCAGGGUUAACUGGACCAGCAGGUAGUGGAUGGAUAACCAGGGUUAACUGGACCAGCAGGUAGUGGAUGGACAACCAGGGUUAACUGGACCAGCAGGUAGUGGAUGGAUAACCAGGGUUAACUGGACCAGCAGGUAGUGGAUGGACAACCAGGGUUAACUGGACCAGCAGGUAGUGGAUGGACAACCAGGGUUAACUGGACCAGCAGGUAGUGGAUGGACUUCCAGGGUUAACUGGACCAGCAGGUAGUGGAUGGACAACCAGGGUUAACUGGACCAGCAGGUAGUGGAUGGACUUCCAGGGUUAACUGGACCAGCAGGUAGUGGAUGGACAACCAGGGUUAACUGGACCAGCAGGUAGUGGAUGGACUUCCAGGGUUAACUGGAUCAGCAGGUAGUGGAUGGACAACCAGGGUUAACUGGACCAGCAGGUAGUGGACUAAAUUAGUUCUACUUAACAUCUUGGUGUGCCUUUUCUGUUUUACCACAGUGGGAUGAUUGUGUGAGUUACGCUGGUGUAAUGUUAUAAAUAUGUAGUCAAAAAAAUGAACAUGAAACAUUCAGCAGUUCCUGUCCCCUUGCUCCCAUGGCCAGUAUUAUUGGGUGUGUUUGCAGGAAGGUCUGCUCUAAUCUAUACUGUUGUUUUGUUUAGGUGUAGUGGG